CCAUGGACGGAAAACUUAAGCUUGGAAGAGGACAUUUUGGAGCAGAGCAGUUUCUUCCUUGGUAGUGUUUUACCUCCAACUAUGUGUAAAAAUGGUGAUAAAGAAGUUAAGAGUUGUCAUGCAAUCUGCUGCUCUGAAAUCCUUACUUAUUUGCACUGACAGAUUGAUGGAGCUCCUGUCGGGCUUUAUGCAAGAAAGCACACACCAUCACAGGAGCUGUCUUGUGUUUGUGUGAACCUUAGCUGUGUUAUCAAACAGCAAGCACUAAAAACAGGAGGGAAAGCACACUCCUGACUGGAAGGUUCAUCAGUUAAAUCACAGUGGAGUGACUACGACUUGAAUCUGUCUGGUUUUCACUGUUUAUUUUCUGUGGGCCUUAUUCUGAUGUGAAUUAGCUGAUUCCAGCAGCCAGAUUUAUAAUAAGAACAGUGCAAUUAGGCGAAGGCCUCUGAUAGCCACAGAAGUGUUAAAGCCGUCAGAGAAAGACUAAAUGAUCCAUUAUGUUUUGGCAACUGCAAGCUCAUUUCCUACCUGCUGUUCAUUUUGUGGUCAUUAUGAACCGAUUAUUCCAGAUAAUGUGGGGAACAGUCCAUUUAUGAGAAUCCAUCAAGAAGUCAUUAUUCCACUAGAAGCUGUGUACUGGGUUUUAAGCAGAAUUGGAGGGAUGGAUUCACAAACACCUUGCUUUCUUGAGCCUCUUUUUUUGAGGGGGAGGGAAGAAGGGGCUGGCGGGCUGGCACCACACUCUCCAGUCUUGGCUGACCAGUUGUCUUCUCUAAGACACAACAAAUGAUGGUGAAUAUACAGCAUUUUAUACUUACCCCAGGCACAGGUUACAGCAGUGAGGUCAGGAGCCUGAAAGCACCGACACCGGAGAAGCAGCUCAGUUCCUUGACUGCUUGGGCAGUCACAGGGAUGACUACACCGGGUCACCUCCUGGAGGGACUCCUCUCUGAACUACACUUACAACAUGACCAGCAUAAAUGAUGGCAGGCCUUUGGGGGCUUUCAUCAGUACAAAGAGGCACUGCAGACACCUUCCUGAUGGUAAAUCACAACAUGCAGUAACUCAGUCUCUCUCUGCCUCUGCCUGAGAAGCCAGCUUGUGCCCUGAGGCAGAGGUGAAGGGAGCAAAGCAGCUGACCUCUGGAUGUGUGCAAGUACAUUGGCUCUUCUAACAGAAGAAAAGCAGGUGAACCCACAGGCUCUCUUCUGCUUCUAGCAAAGGUUGUUGGGUAUCUGAUCCAAACAGCUCCAUCCAGGGUCACUGGAAUGCUGCACGGUGUGUUGAUAAAAUGCCUGUUUUUUUCCUCCCUGGCAAGCCAGGCUGGUACAAAGGAGCAGAAGGGAAGGAUAAACACACAGAACAUGGUCUCAGGGAGCAGGUGGGUGGGUAAUUCACCACACAGAUUGUAAAGCCCUGUGCCAUUCUGCUGUCGUAUUACAGUAAUGGGAGAUUUAUGUGAGCGGGACUUGUGCUGUUUGCCAACAGCAGCCGUUGCCUCGAUUGAGCCUGUUGCUGUCGGGCUGUCAUCAUUUAGGGUGCAUUAGAGACACUGCGAGAGCAGCGAUGUGGAGAGGGAAGUUAGGAUGCUAUUAGUGAGUUGCAUAUGAAAUUAAAUGGGAAAUGAGCAAAAAGCCCAUCUCACUGUAGCACAAAAGUUCUGUCUCUGCAUGGAAAUAAAAUCCUUUCUCCAUUUGCACUCUGUGUGCUAGCACGCUGCACAGCACCGGGUGGUGGUCCUCAUGCAUCCAGUGUGGGAGAUGCUAUUUACAGCAUUUGGAAAGGCUGUUUAAUUGCCCCGUGGGUGUCAUAAGCUCUGUACUACCUCCCUCCCUCUCUCCCCCAGUGGAGAGACAGACAGCAGGAGCAGUGCAAUAGUCUGCUGCUGACCUGUGCUACCACCCUGCUCCAGGACAUUGCAUUUGUAUGUAUUAUAAAUAUAAUGUAUAUUAUGUAAGGAUGGAUGGAGGGACAAAAGGGUGAAGGAAGAAUGAAUGAAAGGACAGAAGGACAGACCUAUGAAUGGAUGGAUAGAUGGGAGGAUGGAAGGAAGGACAACCAGCAAAAGGCAGGAUGGA